UUUUUGCAUGGGCGUGUUGGGUGUUGGGUUGGAGGGUUAGGGUAGAGGUGGAGGUCGCGAGGAGGUGGGGGCGGCGGCGGCGGCGGCCGGGGACGGCGCGCGGCGGCUGGGGGAGGAACGCCGGUUGAGGCGGCCCCGCGAUGGGGAUGGGGUUCACGGGGUGGGGCGCCGGAAGGUGGCGGCUGCUGUGUGCUGCGGCGCGACAACGGCCGAGGGGGAGGGGACGAUGGUGCCACGACGGCCCUGAGGAGGGGCAACGAAGCUGGAGCCGCAACCAAGGGGGUUUGGGCGGCCAAAGCGGUGGCCGGUGUUGAAGGACCGCGUGAGGUGGUUGGCUGUCUGGUCAAGCGGGCGGAGGGUACCGAUUGUAGCGACGAUGGGGUCACAGCGAAGGGUGGGGUCCCCGAGUAGAGGAGGUGGACGCGCGGUGAGGGGCUGGAAGGGAAAAGCGCGGCAUACGAAGGAGGGCGAAGUGACGGACCGUACACGGUCCAGGUUAGACCUGCUUGUCCUGUUGUAUCGGUCGGUAUACGCGGGGAGGUUAGACUUGCCGAACGAGACGUACUACGGCGAACGAACGACACACACCCCAUAUAAAAACAACAUGAGAAUUAAACGACAACUACAGUAUACGAUGUCUAAGUACAAAAAAUACUCUAUGAACCUUAUGCAUUCUCAUGACUAUAUCAUCUUUGUUUCGUGCAUGUCAAUCGUUAUGUCUUCGGCGUCUUACAAAUUCCCCUCAACUUACAGUUUUUGGUGUUGGGACGAUGAGACUAUCAAAAGUCCGAGUGUAAAAUACCCUUUAAUAAGUCAAACAGUGAAACAAUACCCUAUAUUACAGAUUGUAUAGUAUUACAAAACCACCUUUGCCAUCAUCAAAGACUGGAGAAAGUCUCAAAUUUGAUAAAAGGACUACUGACUUACUUCAACUUUGAAACUGUUGCCUACAUCGUCCCAAUUGUCUUUUGUACUACGUGCUAACUUAAUUUGUACGUCCCAAGUUAUGCGUAGAGAUUAAUAAGAAUACAAAUAAUAAAAAUUAUUAGAUGGUGAAGACCGUAGGACAGCCACUCAGAAGAAAACCGGACGCUUGGUAUCAGUAACAUCGAAACGAGAUCAAACGGUUACAUAUCGACUUAUACUCGGUAGAUGAACGACCUUCACCAGUGUAUACCCCAUUGAAAAUCACCGUCCCACUUCGUUACCAUGACCGUAAACAUAAUGACUUUCAUGUCAUGUAUGAAACACAAUAAAACGUACGAGAGAUAUACAAGAGCAGAACCGUCCCCUACGAACCACUACUGAGGAAUUUACGAGACUCAUUAUUAACUCUUAUGUAUCUGUUACAGUUUAACUUCACACUAUAAACAUACAGUAUAAAUGAGGUGUUAUUGAAAAAUACACAAAAAGAGUAAGAAAAAUGUAUCUGCAUUACUAAAGAAAUACGGCGUUACAAUGAAUACAGUAAACCUAAACCUGUACGGCGUCACAAUGAAGCUAGAGACCUACCAACCACCGGUGGAAUUAAUCUUAGUAAUCCCCAUUACAUCAACGUUACGUCAUAGAUACACACCCGAUGGCCUACCUCAACGUUGUCGACACCAGUUUUCGGCCUACAAAACCUCUACGGUACAAACUAAUUAAUUAAUUAGUAGAAAACACCACGGUAAUCAAGACUAGGACUCGAUCCUCCUAAAUUAUAAGAAUUAGUACGAAAGUACGUUUAACUGGGUCAAGCAGGUAACUAACUAAUGACCUGAGGCUCAACGUAACGAAUAAAACCAUUCACUCUUGCAUACUGACAUUAAGACGUAUGUAGUAGUACGAUAAAGGAGGAUUAAAUAUAUACUUCUAAUUCACAGGGAAAAAUGGAUUUUAAAUGAACUUAUAAAUUGACUCUUAAUGAAGUAACACACAGUACGGAUAGAAUAAGGUAGGUGUACUAGAUACCUGGUGUCUAUAUCAAGAGUUAGGUUCCUCUCAGGCUUUUGAUUAUUAAACACGGAACUUAUUGCUUACAUUAAAAAAACAAGAUUAGAACUUUGAAACCGAUUACACUAUUAGGAAAAGCGGGAGUAGCUACCACCGGUAGAUAAACUAGUGUUGUGUACCAGUUAGGGUUCCUCUAGGUCUUUCGCCUCGUAACCCCGUGAGACUAAAAAUUCUUCGAGGUACGUGCAUAAUUCCGGUCAUUUAAGUUAAACAAAGAGUAGACGAAGAGAUACCAGACAACAGGAAUAAGCUAGACAAUAAGUCCAAGUUCUCAUAAAGUUACAACGAUUUCUUUCUAUGUUCCUAGUCACGGCAUUGUAACAACUUUCUGUUAGUCUGUGUCUGUGGUACGUCGUCGUGAAGUGGGACGUCAAGUACGAGACGAGUGGUACUGGACGGAGGAGUAGUAGUCUGUAUGAGUACACAUGAUCCUAGAGGAGUGGUAGUUUCAAGUACACAGGAGAUCUAGUUCGGAUACGUACACUCGACUUCUUAACAAACGGACAAGUGUUAACCACUAACUUCCCACCGGCCACUGAAGGUAUUAAAAGAACAUCAACAAACAACCUAUUAGAAAUUUUAAUCCUAACAUCUCUUGAAAUGUAAUGACAUUUUGAAGCAGAAGAACCACAACUACGAAUGUAUAAGGUAAUACGAUUGAGUCGUUGUGAAAAUCGUCUUUAACCAACAAAUACGUCUGUGCGCCACAUCAUUUUAACUUCUAAAUCGAGGGCGUAACGUAUGAAUACGAUACAACAUCAUUACAAGAUAGGUACUUAAUAUAUAUCGUCUGACAUACAAGU
rnacentral:rRNA from 1 species